rnacentral:antisense_RNA from 1 species
CUUCAGCGACCCCAGCCACAACGGGGUCUCCCGGUCCUGACCGUAGGUGGCCAGCAGUGCCCGCGCCUC